ACACAUGCAAGUCGAACGGAAUUUACAUGAAGCCUAGCGAUUGUAAAUUUAGUGGCGGACGGGUGAGUAACGCGUGGGUAACCUGCCUUGUACUGGGGGACAACAGUUGGAAACGACUGCUAAUACCGCAUAAGCGCACAGCUUCGCAUGAAGCAGUGUGAAAAACUCCGGUGGUACAAGAUGGACCCGCGUCUGAUUAGCUGGUUGGUGAGGUAACGGCCCACCAAGGCGACGAUCAGUAGCCGGCCUGAGAGGGUGAACGGCCACAUUGGGACUGAGACACGGCCCAAACUCCUACGGGAGGCAGCAGUGGGGAAUAUUGCACAAUGGGGGAAACCCUGAUGCAGCAACGCCGCGUGAGUGAAGAAGUAUUUCGGUAUGUAAAGCUCUAUCAGCAGGAAAGAAAAUGACGGUACCUGACUAAGAAGCCCCGGCUAACUACGUGCCAGCAGCCGCGGUAAUACGUAGGGGGCAAGCGUUAUCCGGAUUUACUGGGUGUAAAGGGAGCGUAGACGGUUUUGCAAGUCUGAAGUGAAAGCCCGGGGCUUAACCCCGGGACUGCUUUGGAAACUGUAGGACUAGAGUGCAGGAGAGGUAAGUGGAAUUCCUAGUGUAGCGGUGAAAUGCGUAGAUAUUAGGAGGAACACCAGUGGCGAAGGCGGCUUACUGGACUGUAACUGACGUUGAGGCUCGAAAGCGUGGGGAGCAAACAGGAUUAGAUACCCUGGUAGUCCACGCCGUAAACGAUGAUUACUAGGUGUUGGUGGGUAUGACCCAUCGGUGCCGCAGCAAACGCAAUAAGUAAUCCACCUGGGGAGUACGUUCGCAAGAAUGAAA
rnacentral:rRNA from 1 species